AUUGAACGCUGGCGGCAGGCCUAACACAUGCAAGUCGAGCGGAUGAAGGGAGCUUGCUCCUGGAUUCAGCGGCGGACGGGUGAGUAAUGCCUAGGAAUCUGCCUGGUAGUGGGGGAUAACGUCCGGAAACGGGCGCUAAUACCGCAUACGUCCUGAGGGAGAAAGUGGGGGAUCUUCGGACCUCACGCUAUCAGAUGAGCCUAGGUCGGAUUAGCUAGUUGGUGGGGUAAAGGCCUACCAAGGCGACGAUCCGUAACUGGUCUGAGAGGAUGAUCAGUCACACUGGUACUGAGACACGGUCCAGACUCCUACGGGAGGCAGCAGUGGGGAAUAUUGGACAAUGGGCGAAAGCCUGAUCCAGCCAUGCCGCGUGUGUGAAGAAGGUCUUCGGAUUGUAAAGCACUUUAAGUUGGGAGGAAGGGCAGUAAGUUAAUACCUUGCUGUUUGACGUUACCAACAGAAUAAGCACCGGCUAACUUCGUG
rnacentral:rRNA from 1 species